GUUUGCUCUCCUAGGUGUAUUACCUAUGACGGCUCACGAGCCCAACCUGCCCGGGUUUAUUGUUCGGAGUUUGCUCUCCUAGGUGAAUUGCCUACCACGGCUAACGAACCUCACCUGCCCGGGUUUAUAAUCGGAGUUUGCUCUCCUAGGUGAACUGCUUUCGCUAACGACCUCCACCUGCCCGGGUUUGUAAUCGGAGUUUGCUCUCCUAGGUGAACUGCUUUCGCUAACGACCUCCACCUGCCCGGGUUUGUAAUCGGAGUUUGCUCUCCUAGGUGAACUGCUUUCGCUAACGACCUCCACCUGCCCGGGUUUGUAAUCGGAGUUUGCUCUCCUAGGUGAACUGCUUUCGCUAACGACCUCCACCUGCCCGGGUUUAUUGUUCGGAGUUUGCUCUCCUAGGUGUAUUACCUAUGACGGCUCACGAGCCCAACCUGCCCGGGUUUAUUGUUCGGAGUUUGCUCUCCUAGGUGAAUUGCCUACCACGGCUAACGAGCCUCACCUGCCCGGGUUUGUUGUUCGGAGUUUGCUCUCCUAGGUGAAUUGCCUACCACGGCUAACGAACCUCACCUGCCCGGGUUUGUUGUUCGGAGUUUGCUCUCCUAGGCAGAUUGCCUACCACGGCUAACGAGCCCCAUCUGCCCGGCGUUGUAGCCG